CCUACGGGUGGCUGCAGUGAGGAAUAUUGGUCAAUGGGCGUGAGCCUGAACCAGCCAAGUCGCGUGAGGGAAGACGGUUCUAUGGAUUGUAAACCUCUUUUAUCAGGGAGUAAGGAGCGCCACGUGUGGUGUGUCGAGUGUACUUUAUGAAUAAGGAUCGGCUAACUCCGUGCCAGCAGCCGCGGUAAUACGGAGGGAGCAAGCGUUGUCCGGAAUUAUUGGGGGUAAAGGGCGCGUAGGUGGGUUCUUAAGUCAGUGGUGAAAACUCAGGGCCCAAACUCGAGCCCGCAAUUGAAACUGGGGAUCUUGAGGGGAAGAGAGGAAAGCGGAAUGCGUAGUGUAGCGGUGAAAUGCGUAGAUAUCAGGAAGAACACCAGUGGCGAAGGCGACAUGCUGGACUGCAACUGACGCUGAAGCACGAAAGCGUGGGUAGCGAACAGGAUUAGAUACCCUAGUAGUC
rnacentral:rRNA from 1 species